rnacentral:rRNA from 1 species
ACCUGUCUGACUAUUCAUAGUGCAGGGCUCCUACAUGCUUGAACCCUGGGGUGAAUACUCAACCUCCUUCCCCGGUGGCCACCCUCACAAUUACUGGAUAAUAGGCUCCUGCUCCCCCCUUACCGGCAGCCUCCCUAAUACGUAGGGAGCUAGCGUUGUUCGGAAUUACUGGGCGUAAAGCGUACGUAGGCGGUUAUUCAACUCAGAGGUGAAAGCCUGGAGCUCAACUCCAGAACUGCCUUUGAAACUACAUAGCUAGAAUCUUGUAGAGGUGAGUGGAAUUCCGAGUGUACAGGUGAAAUUCGUAUAUAUUCGGAAGAACACCAGUGGCGAAGGCGACUCACUGGACAAGUAUUGACGCUGAGGUACUAAACCGUGGGGAGCAAACAGGAUUAGAUACCCUGGUAGUCCACGCCGUAAACGAUGCUAACUAGCUGUUCGCGCUCUACGAGCUUGAGUGGCGCAGCUCACGCAUUAAGUUAUCCGCCUGGGGAGUACCGUCGCAAGAUUAAAACUCAAA